rnacentral:rRNA from 1 species
GACAGAGGAUGCAAGCGUUAUCCGGAAUGAUUGGGCGUAAAGCGUCUGUAGGUGGCUUUUAAGUCCGCCGUCAACGAGCCCGGUCAACCCUGGACAGGCGGUGGAAACUACCAAGCUGGAGUACGGUAGGGGCAGAGGGAAUUCCUGGUGUAGCGGUGAAAUGCGCAGAUAUCAGGAAGAACACCCGUGGCGAAGGCGGCUCUCUGAGACGGUACUGACGCUGAGACGCGAAAGCGUGGGGAGCGAACAGG